rnacentral:rRNA from 1 species
GACGAACGCUGGCGGCGUGCUUAACACAUGCAAGUCGAACGGAAAGGCCCUGCUUUUGUGGGGUGCUCGAGUGGCGAACGGGUGAGUAACACGUGAGUAACCUGCCCUUGACUUUGGGAUAACUUCAGGAAACUGGGGCUAAUACCGGAUAGGAGCUCCUGCUGCAUGGUGGGGGUUGGAAAGUUUCGGCGGUUGGGGAUGGACUCGCGGCUUAUCAGCUUGUUGGUGGGGUAGUGGCUUAUCAAGGCUUUGACGGGUAGCCGGCCUGAGAGGGUGACCGGCCACAUUGGGACUGAGAUACGGCCCAGACUCCUACGGGAGGCAGCAGUGGGGAAUAUUGCACAAUGGGCGGAAGCCUGAUGCAGCAACGCCGCGUGCGGGAUGAAGGCCUUCGGGUUGUAAACCGCUUUCGCCUGUGACGAAGCGUGAGUGACGGUAAUGGGUAAAGAAGCACCGGCUAACUACGUG